AAUGUAAUAUGGCACAAGUGUUGUCUUUUCCUGGCUUUAAAGACUGCAUUACAGUAGAGUAAUGUGAUUUUCUGAACACACCAGACUGUUCUAGUUGUUCUAUUAUUUGCCUAUACCCACAUAGUUAUUAUAUCAACAUACUGUAACUCAUGAUUAUUUAUCAAAAACCUCAUUGUGUGCAU